CCUACGGGUGGCAGCAGUAGGGAAUCUUGCACAAUGGGCGAAAGCCUGAUGGAGCAACGCAGCGUGGGUGAAGAAGGUCCUCGGAGCGUAAAACCUCGUUGUUAGAGAAGAAAGAGAGGGAGAGUAACUGUUCACGUAUGUACGGUAUCAAACAAGAAAGCCAAGGCUAACGACGUGCCAGCAGCCGCGGUAAUACGUAGGUGGCAAGCGUUAUCCGGAUUGAUUGGGCGUGAAGGGAACGCAGGCGGUUUGUUAAGUCUGAUGUGAAAGCUUUCGGCUUAACCUGAGUAGUGCAGUGGAAACUGGGAGUCUUGAGUGCAGGAGAGGUGGGUGGAACUCCAUGUGUAGCGGUGAAAUGCUUAGAUAUCUGGAAGAACUCCGGUGGCGAAGGCGGCUCUCUGGUCUGUAACUGACGCUGAUGUUCGAAAGUGUGGGUAGCAAACAGGAUUAGAUACCCCUGUAGUC
rnacentral:rRNA from 1 species